rnacentral:lncRNA from 1 species
GCAUCUACAUCCUCAACCGCUCGCCUACUAAAGCACUCGACGGCAUGACGCCGUACGAGGCUUGGCAUGGGCGAAAGCCGGCGGUCUCUCACUUGCGGGUCUUCAGCUGCUGAAGCGACCGCCCCCGUACACGGGUUCGAUCUCUGUGCUUUAGUGCUGGUCCCUGGAUCGACUCACUAGCACACACAGUUUCAAGAUGUAAUAUCAUAGAACAAAGGUCUCAAUAUUACAGCGAAUCAUCCGGAAUUUAAAAGGUACUUACAACUCGCAUAACCUCACGGGUUAGCUGGAAAUAAAACAACUGUUUAGCAGCGGAAAGUGAAAGAUAUAAGGGCACAUCAACACCACGGUGAGAGCGUGUUGGAAUGUAAGCCCGUAACCCAAACAUGCAGAACGUACAUCUUACUCGUCGUCGGAGCUUCCUGCAUCAUUAAACGAUGCAGCCACUAGGGUCAAUACAUUGAAUGUAUUGGCAAGAUUCACUAGGAGUUAUAAUAGAACCUACCAAGUAUAUGCAGUAUUUGGCAAGGUGGAGUUCAGGCUAUUUGCGUGGAAGCAGAACAUAAAAUACCCUACUACAAAGGAAUGUUAUAAUAAUGUUAACUAAUGGACACGAGGUAGACACACCCAUGCUCCUAUUAACCUAGAGUACAUUGAUGUGGAUUCAUCAAGUGCCCCUACCCUGUUCAACCAUCCAUUUUAUUUAAGAAAUUGGAAUGAGUGAGACUUUCCUUACAGCUCCACAUCUAGUCGCUCAAAUUGUCCGUUGCCGGGGACACGGCUAAGUACUUAGUUUUUACGUUCUCGAGAGUUUGUACACAUUCCCCACAAGAAACCGACGUGUUAAUCCCUUGCUGUCCUUAGGGUAGAGUAGCAACGGCAUCGAUUACGAGAUUUUCAGAGGUAAUUCCCUAAACCACGAGAGAAUCACGCUCCCCCUACACGGCUACCUCAGUACAAUUCUUCGGGUUUAGGUUCAUACAACUUACUCUUGUCUCGCGAGAGCCCAUAUAGCAUUGUGGCUGUACUAGAAGCUUCUAAAUAGGAAACUAGUACAGUCUCAGUUACCCCAGGUGGCAUUCCACAUUUGCCACGUAGGCGCUCCCUGAAUCCACGGGAGAGACGUCCAUGGACGAUCCAUUCCUGAAUCCACAGGAACUCGACUCAGAGGGACCCAUAGAAAUGGACCUGACGCCGCUAAUUCUCAAAAUCCUCAAAGCAGCCCACCCAGGAUGGUUCAUUGAAUUGGUUGUUUUGCCUUACAUCUAGCAAAAAUAUUUCAUAUAGCCAAAGGCAUAACAAUAUCAUAAUGUAGUUAUUUUCCCCACGAUACUACCAUAGCUUAGCAUUCAACUACAAUCGAUGGCAAUUUGAUAGCAAGGUAAUGGCGAGGGUAAACUAGACUACCUGGGAUUUAUAACUAGCACAGAGGUACGAGCAAUAGUCCUAUUAAUGCAUCUCUACCAACAACACUAAUGCAUAAGUAUUUUAAAACAACAAUAAUAAUGGGAUAUGAUCAAAGUGAACUUGCCUUGUCCAAGGUUGUGGUAGUUCUCGCACUCUUCGCAACAACAAUGAUUACACUCCACACAAUCUAAAUUAAAAGGAACACACACAAUAAACACAACACUCAAUACAAAAUCAUGCCAUGAUGCAUAUGCUAUGAUGAUGCACAACGAAGGUUACUUCUAAAGUAAAAAGUUUCGUUUCUGUUUUAAAAAGUUUUUCAAAUGGUUUGGACGAAUUAUACAACAACAAAGUGCUAAUUAAUAUGUUUGAAACAAGGAUAGGUUGUAAAACAAAAGAUUGUGCGGCUUUUGCAACAUAGAGCAAUAUUUAACUUGCAUGCCAUGAUUAUACACAAAAUAAUUUCUUUUCUGGUCCCACUGGACAGAGAACAAGUUUAAUAAAUCUUAUAGCAAGAUAACAUGCUCAAAACUAUUUUGAAACAAUUCAUUUGAAAUUUAAACCAUAUUCAACCAUUCUGUAAAUAGCUACUGUCUAAGUUGUUCAAAACUAAAAUUAAACAGUGCCAAAAUAUUCUACACGUUGAGACGAUUUCAGAAAGGUGCGGAUCACAAUUUUUGGACAAACGGUUUGAAAGAUAUGAGGCUUUAAAGAUACAGGGGCUUUUCUGCAAAAGUGCAUUACUAAUUCGGCCGAAUUAAAAUAAACUUAAAAAAAAUGCUCUACCACGUGGCAGCGUGGGAUAGGCCGGAUCUAGGGUUCCGGCCGGCGGGGCUAGCUCGCCGGACGGCGGCGGCGGGCGGCGCGGGCAGGCGGCGCGGCGGCGCUCGGGCGGCUGGCGGCGCACGGGCGGCUGGAGCGUGCGCGGCGCGGCAGGCGGAGCGGCGCGUGCGGCUCGGGGCGGUUGCUGGCACGGGCGACGGCGCGGGGCUAAGCGGCGGCGCGGGCGCACGGGCAGGCGGGCUCGCAGGCGCGGCGACGGCAGGCGGCGCGCGGGCGCGCGGGGCGGCACGUGGCGCAGGGCGCGGGCGGACGCGGGGGGGCACGCGCGUGCAGGCGGGCGGCGCAGGGCGGCUCGGGCGGCCGGAGUCGGGGAAGAACAUGGGCGGCGCGGCCAAACUCAAAAGCGACUGCGUCACGGUGUUCGCGCUGGAGAGGGGAGGAAGGAGAUGGGGUCGGCGCGGGCGGAAGCUCACCGGAAAGAUGGAGAAUCGCGAAGAACGGCGACGACCGCAACGAACUCCGGCGAGCAAUUAAUCUCUAACCGGUGCGAAAUUGAUCGUGGGGUUUGGGGGAAGUGGUAGAGGAGUUCGGGGGCUUCGAUAUGAAAUGCGG